CUUGAAACACGGACCAAGGAGUCUAGCAUGUGCGCGAGUCAUUGGGAAUAACUAAACCUAAAGGCGCAAUGAAAGUGAAGGUUCGUCUCGCGCGAACCAAGGGAAGAUGGGCGUGCCGCGUUCGUCGCGGCCGCUCCGCACUCCCGGGGCGUCUCGUUCUCAUCGCGAGAAGAGGCGCACCAAGAGCGUACACGCUGGGACCCGAAAGAUGGUGAACUAUGCCUGGUCAGGACGAAGUCAGGGGAAACCCUGAUGGAGGUCCGUAGCGAUUCUGACGUGCAAAUCGAUCGUCGGAACUGGGUAUAGGGGCGAAAGACUAAUCGAACCAUCUAGUAGCUGGUUCCCUCCGAAGUUUCCCUCAGGAUAGCUGGCGCUCGUCGCCUACGAGUCUCAUCCGGUAAAGCGAAUGAUUAGAGGCAUUGGGGUCGAAACGGCCUCAACCUAUUCUCAAACUUUAAAUGGGUGAGAUCUCCGGCUUGCUCGAACUAUUGAAGCCGCGAGACACGGAUCAGAGUGCCAAGUGGGCCAUUUUUGGUAAGCAGAACUGGCGCUGUGGGAUGAACCAAACGCCGAGUUAAAGCGCCUAAAUCGACGCUUAUGGGAUACCAUGAAAGGCGUUGGUAACUUAAGACAGCAGGACGGUGGCCAUGGAAGUCGGAAUCCG
rnacentral:rRNA from 1 species